rnacentral:rRNA from 2 species
CAAAGGACUCUCGACAACGGAUAUCUCGGCUCACGCAUCGAUGAAGAACGUAGCAAAAUGCGAUACUUGGUGUGAAUUGCAGAAUCCCGUGAACCAUCGAGUUUUUGAACGCAAGUUGCGCCCGAAGCCUUUUGGCCAAGGGCACGUCUGCCUGGGCGUCACAC